GUGCCAGCCGCCGCGGUAAUACCGGCAGCCCGAGUGAUGGCCGAUCUUAUUGGCCCUAAAGCGUCCGUAGCCGGCCGAGCGGGUCCGUCGGGAAAUCCGCGUGCUCAACGCGCGGGCGUCCGGCGGAAACCACUCGGCUUGGGGCCGGAGGACUCGAGGGGUACGUCCGGGGUAGGAGUGAAAUCCCGUAAUCCUGGACGGACCGCCGAUGGCGAAAGCACCUCGAGAGGACGGACCCGACGGUGAGGGACGAAAGCCAGGGUCUCGAACCGGAUUAGAAACCCCAGUAGUCC
rnacentral:rRNA from 1 species